GGGCGCAUAGCUCAGCUGGCUAGAGCCACCGGCUCAUAACCGGUCGGUCGUAGGUUCAAGUCCUACUGCGCCCACCA
rnacentral:tRNA from 3 species